UAAUGAUGAGCUCUUAGAUGACGAGUCUGAACCGGAUGGGAACGUGUCAUACGUUCUCUGAAGAACAAGACGAGACUUUCAAAUUAUACCAUUCAUGCAUUCCUGACU
rnacentral:snoRNA from 1 species